rnacentral:tRNA from 1 species
ACCUGGCUGGCUCAGUCAAUAGAGCAUGUGACUCCUGAUCUUGGGGUUGUGGGUUCAAGCCCCAUGCUGGGUG